rnacentral:snoRNA from 1 species
UCAAGAAAACUAGUUUAAUGGCAGGCCCGUCCCCCUGGGCCUCUCAUAGUGUCCCAUGCCAGAGCAAACUGGCCCAGAACCAUUGCCUGGCCUCUACCCAUAGGCUGCAGACACUGAAGCAGGUUGUACAGUG